rnacentral:rRNA from 1 species
GGGUUGUGAGGUUAAGCGACUAAGCGUACACGGUGGAUGCCCUGGCAGUCAGAGGCGAUGAAGGACGUGCUAAUCUGCGAAAAGCGCCGGCGAGGUGAUAUGAACCCUUGACCCGGCGAUGUCCGAAUGGGGAAACCCAGUGUGAUUCGUCACACUAUCGUUAACUGAAUACAUAGGUUAACGAAGCGAACCGGGGGAACUGAAACAUCUAAGUACCCCGAGGAAAAGAAAUCAACCGAGAUUCCCCCAGUAGCGGCGAGCGAACGGGGAGCAGCCCGGAGUCUGAAUCAGCUUGUGUGUUAGUGGAACGGUCUGGAAAGUCCGACGGUACAGGGUGAUAGUCCCGUACACGAAAAUGCACAUGCUGUGAACUCGAAGAGUAGGGCGGGACACGUGGUAUCCUGUCUGAAUAUGGGGGGACCAUCCUCCAAGGCUAAAUACUCCUGACUGACCGAUAGUGAACCAGUACCGUGAGGGAAAGGCGAAAAGAACCCCGGCGAGGGGAGUGAAAAAGAACCUGAAACCGUGUACGUACAAGCAGUGGGAGCCUCUUUAUGGGGUGACUGCGUACCUUUUGUAUAAUGGGUCAGCGACUUAUAUUCUGUAGCAAGGUUAACCGUAUAGGGGAGCCGAAGGGAAACCGAGUCUUAACUGGGCGUUAAGUUGCAGGGUAUAGACCCGAAACCCGGUGAUCUAGCCAUGGGCAGGUUGAAGGUUGGGUAACACUAACUGGAGGACCGAACCGACUAAUGUUGAAAAAUUAGCGGAUGACCUGUGGCUGGGGGUGAAAGGCCAAUCAAACCGGGAGAUAGCUGGUUCUCCCCGAAAGCUAUUUAGGUAGCGCCUCGUGAACUCAUCUUCGGGGGUAGAGCACUGUUUCGGCUAGGGGGCCAUCCCGGCUUACCAACCCGAUGCAAACUACGAAUACCGAAGAAUGUUAUCACGGGAGACACACGGCGGGUGCUAACGUCCGUCGUGAAGAGGGAAACAACCCAGACCGCCAGCUAAGGUCCCAAAGUCAUGGUUAAGUGGGAAACGAUGUGGGAAGGCACAGACAGCCAGGAUGUUGGCUUAGAAGCAGCCAUCAUUUAAAGAAAGCGUAAUAGCUCACUGGUCGAGUCGGCCUGCGCGGAAGAUGUAACGGGGCUAAACCAUGCACCGAAGCUGCGGCAGCGACACUUAUGUGUUGUUGGGUAGGGGAGCGUUCUGUAAGCCGUUGAAGGUGUGCUGUGAGGCAUGCUGGAGGUAUCAGAAGUGCGAAUGCUGACAUAAGUAACGAUAAAGCGGGUGAAAAGCCCGCUCGCCGGAAGACCAAGGGUUCCUGUCCAACGUUAAUCGGGGCAGGGUGAGUCGACCCCUAAGGCGAGGCCGAAAGGCGUAGUCGAUGGGAAACAGGUUAAUAUUCCUGUACUUGGUGUUACUGCGAAGGGGGGACGGAGAAGGCUAUGUCAGCCGGGCGACGGUUGUCCCGGUUUAAGCAUGUAGGCGGAGGUUCCAGGUAAAUCCGGUACCUUUUAACGCUGAGGUGUGAUGACGAGGCACUACGGUGCUGAAGUGAUAAAUGCCCUGCUUCCAGGAAAAGCCUCUAAGCAUCAGGUAACACGAAAUCGUACCCCAAACCGACACAGGUGGUCAGGUAGAGAAUACCAAGGCGCUUGAGAGAACUCGGGUGAAGGAACUAGGCAAAAUGGUGCCGUAACUUCGGGAGAAGGCACGCUGAUGUGUAGGUGAAGCCCCUGCGGGCGGAGCUGAAAUCAGUCGAAGAUACCAGCUGGCUGCAACUGUUUAUUAAAAACACAGCACUGUGCAAACACGAAAGUGGACGUAUACGGUGUGACGCCUGCCCGGUGCCGGAAGGUUAAUUGAUGGGGUUAGCGGCAACGCGAAGCUCUUGAUCGAAGCCCCGGUAAACGGCGGCCGUAACUAUAACGGUCCUAAGGUAGCGAAAUUCCUUGUCGGGUAAGUUCCGACCUGCACGAAUGGCGUAAUGAUGGCCAGGCUGUCUCCACCCGAGACUCAGUGAAAUUGAACUCGCUGUGAAGAUGCAGUGUACCCGCGGCAAGACGGAAAGACCCCGUGAACCUUUACUAUAGCUUGACACUGAACACUGGUCCUUGAUGUGUAGGAUAGGUGGGAGGCUUUGAAGCGUGGACGCCAGUCUGCGUGGAGCCGACCUUGAAAUACCACCCUUUAAUGGCUGGUGUUCUAACGUAGACCCGUAAUCCGGGUUGCGGACAGUGUCUGGUGGGUAGUUUGACUGGGGCGGUCUCCUCCCAAAGAGUAACGGAGGAGCACGAAGGUUGGCUAAUCCUGGUCGGACAUCAGGAGGUUAGUGCAAUGGCAUAAGCCAGCUUGACUGCGAGCGUGACGGCGCGAGCAGGUGCGAAAGCAGGUCAUAGUGAUCCGGUGGUUCUGAAUGGAAGGGCCAUCGCUCAACGGAUAAAAGGUACUCCGGGGAUAACAGGCUGAUACCGCCCAAGAGUUCAUAUCGACGGCGGUGUUUGGCACCUCGAUGUCGGCUCAUCACAUCCUGGGGCUGAAGUAGGUCCCAAGGGUAUGGCUGUUCGCCAUUUAAAGUGGUACGCGAGCUGGGUUUAGAACGUCGUGAGACAGUUCGGUCCCUAUCUGCCGUGGGCGCUGGAGAAUUGAGGGGGGCUGCUCCUAGUACGAGAGGACCGGAGUGGACGCAUCACUGGUGUUCGGGUUGUCAUGCCAAUGGCACUGCCCGGUAGCUAAAUGCGGAAGAGAUAAGUGCUGAAAGCAUCUAAGCACGAAACUUGCCCCGAGAUGAGUUCUCCCUGAGACUUUAAGUCUCCUGAAGGAACGUU